rnacentral:rRNA from 1 species
AGAGUUUGAUCAUGGCUCAGGAUAAACGCUGGCGGCGUGCAUCAGGCAUGCAAGUCGAACGUCCAGUAAUGGACGUGGCGGACGGGUGAGUAACACGUGAGUAACCUGCCCAAAAGUGGGGAAUAACGCGUCAAAAGACGUGCUAAUACCGCAUGUGAUAGCUGGUCCUCGGAUCAGUUAUGAAAGGCCUUGGUCGCUUUUGGAGGGGCUUGCGGCCGAUUAGCUUGUUGGUGGGGUAACGGCCUACCAAGGCGACGAUCGGUAGCUGGUCUGAGAGGAUGGUCAGCCACACGGGGACUGAGACACGGCCCCGACUCCUACGGGAGGCAGCAGCUAGGAAUCUUGGGAAUGGGCGAAAGCCUGACCCAGCAACGCCGCGUGGGCGAUGAAGGCCUUAGGGUCGUAAAGCCCUUUUGUGGGGGAAGAUGAUGACGGUACCCCACGAAUAAGCCACGGCUAACUACGUGCCAGCAGCCGCGGUAAUACGUAGGUGGCGAGCGUUGUCCGGAUUUAUUGGGCGUAAAGCGCGUGCAGGCGGUUUGUUAAGUUCAGGGUGAAAGCUCCCGGCUCAACUGGGAGAGGUCCUUGGAUACUGGCAGACUUGAGGGAGGUAGAGGAGAGUGGAAUUCUCGGUGUAGUGGUGAUAUGCGUAGAUAUCGAGAGGAACACCGUGGCGAAGGCGGCUCUCUGGGCCUUUCCUGACGCUGAGACGCGAAAGCGUGGGGAGCGAACCGGAUUAGAUACCCUAGUAGUCC